CUACGCUGCAAAAUCAAACCGCAAGGCUACCGCGUUCCGAUGUCGAAACGCUUAGCCUCGCGGAAGCUACCGACGCCCGGUCACGCCCCUGAAAUUGCGCCAGAUAUCAUAAUAUAUAAACGCGACCACGCCGUAACCGAGCGGAGAGUAUCAUAACAGCGACCGAGCAUCGUCGCAUACCGUAAACCUUAUCGCGAGUGUUACGUGACAUCAACACAGCUGACUGUAAGCGCAAGAGAAAGAAAUAAAGACAACGAACAAGAAAGUAAGAAGCGUCUUCUUUUCUCUCAUACACCGAGCCAAACCUUCAUCCUUUGGGUCCUAACCCUUCAGGCAGAACGAUCCCAACUACUAACGGGAAAGAAUUCCCAAAACGAGCAAACGCUCACAACAAAUAUGAUUAAA